UGGGUGUCCAUCUCACUCACCCAGCCUGAAAAUGUCUAUGUGAAGAAGCGUAAGCAAAACAGACACUUGUGCUAAUCACUGUUCAGAGCUUGGCUGCUGAGUGUUUUCUGGGAGCUGCAUUGUCAGUUGAGGGCUGCCCGCUGCGUGGGGUGGAUUCCCCAGCCCUCACAGGAUAAUUUUAUCACAGAGGACAACAUUUGUAGUUCUGCAUGAGUGGCUCUCCUGGCGAGAUAAAGAAGAGACAGUGAGCUGAGGCUGAGGCUGAGAAGGCUGGCAUAUGUGAUGUCUUCGGGGAUCGGAAGCUCUGUGGAUGACAGGAUUAGGCAUGUACAGGACCAUGGAACAGCAAGCUGAGCCACUAGGGCCCUCAGGGAGGAGAAACCCAGAAGCCUGACAUGCCAGCAAAAGGGUAAAGAAAGCUUUUAUGGUUCCCUGACUGAGGAUAAUCAACCCCUUCAUAAUUUAGAAUCCAAAGAUUGGAUCUUCUGAGAACAUCAGAGAAAGACUGCCCUUGCCAUCCACACUGCAACAAAACUUCAGAACCUUGAACCUUGGGUUCAUAAUCUCACAACAAAGAAGGGUCCCUCCAUGUUCUUGGAGCUGUACACCCAUUGGAACUCUUAAGCCAUCUCUAAAGGGUCAAAUGGUCUGUCUUCAACUGGCAUGACAAGAUCUGAAAGAAAAGUGUGAUCAUGAGGACACCACAACCUAUGAAUGACAUGCUGAGACUGGAAACUCAAAAUGAUGGUAACUGAGAGUGCUGCUAAGGUCCUAAAUUUUGGUUACACUCUCACCUAAGAGAACCUGAACAAAAAAGGAAUUUUUUUAAACAAAAUUAUGAGAGGCCAUUGUUUUGGACUGAGCUUAUGCA
rnacentral:lncRNA from 1 species